rnacentral:rRNA from 1 species
UAGGGAAUCUUCCACAAUGGGACGCAAGUCUGAUGGAGCAAGCGCCGCGUGAGUGAAGAAGGCUUUCGGGUCGUAAAACUCUGUUGUUGGAGAAGAAUGGUCGGCAGAGUAACUGUUGUCGGCGUGACGGUAUCCAACCAGAAAGGCCACGGCUAACUACGUGCCAGCAGCCGCGGUAAUACGUAGGUGGCAAGCGUUAUCCGGAUUUAUUGGGCGUAAAAGCGAGCGC